GCGCAGGUGGUGUAACCGGCAGCCACACGGGUCUCAGAAACCCGGGUCCGAGAGGACGUGAGGGUUCGACCCCCUCCCUGCGUA
rnacentral:tRNA from 2 species